CCUACGGGAGGCAGCAGUGGGGAAUUUUCCGCAAUGGGCGAAAGCCUGACGGAGCAAUACCGCGUGAGGGACGAAGACUUUUGGGUCGUAAACCUCUUUUCUCAGGGAAGAUAGUGACGGUACCUGAGGAAUAAGCAUCGGCUAACUCUGUGCCAGCAGCCGCGGUAAUACAGAGGAUGCAAGCGUUAUCCGGAAUGAUUGGGCGUAAAGCGUCCGCAGGUGGUUUAAUAAGUCUGUUGUUAAAGCGUUAGGCUCAACCUAAUAAGGGUCAAUGGAAACUAUUGAACUAGAGUACGUUCGGGGCAGAGGGAAUUCCCAGUGUAGCGGUGAAAUGCGUAGAGAUUGGGAAGAACACCGGUGGCGAAAGCGCUCUGCUAGGCCUGUACUGACACUGAGGGACGAAAGCUAGGGGAGCGAAUGGGAUUAGAUACCCCAGUAGUCCUAGCCGUAAACGAUGGAUACUAGGCGUUGCCCGUAUCGACCCGGGCAUGUCGUAGCUACGUACGUACGUACUCCGUCCGUCGGGUAGGUACGCGCGCGAGUGUAGAACGUACGAAGAAGUAGACGGCGUGAGACGCGCCGACGGACGACGACGAGGGAGUAGG
rnacentral:rRNA from 1 species